rnacentral:ncRNA from 1 species
AUAAAGUUUUAUUCUAGCUUAUGAUUUUAAUUUUUGGGGUUAUUUAUAUGUAAAUUUAAGUGUUUGUGUUUAGAUUUUUUAAAAAGGAAUUAAUCAGCAAAUGAAGUUCGCAGUAUUUAGUUUUGUGUAUUAAGGAGAUUUAGACUAAGGCAUUUAGAAUAGUAUUAACUAAGUUUGUGCCAGCAGUUGCGGUUAAACAGGCAGUGCAAUUAAAGUUUUUUCGAUUGAUAAUUAGUAAUGAUAAGAAAAUUUAAAUUUAAAUUUAUUAGGUGAAAUUUGUAAAUUUAAUACAAAUUUAUUAUAAGAUUAUGAGGUUAUGAAAUUUUUUUUUAUAAACUAGGAUUAGAUACCCUAUUAUUUAAAAUGUAAAUUAUAUGAAUGUAUGUAUCAGAGUAGUAGUAGUUAUGUGCUUGAAAUUUAAAGGAUUUGGCGGUAUUUUAGUCCAUUCAGAGGAACCUGUCCUGUAAUUGAUGAUCCACGAUUAAUUGUACUUGAUUUAGAGGUUUAUAUAUCGUCGUAGGUUGAAUGUUUUAGAAGAAUUAAGAAUGUUCAAGAUUUAGUUAAGUAAGGUAAAUCAGAUCAAGAUGUAGCGUAUAGUUAAGAAGAGAUGGGUUACAAUAAAUUUAUUUAAAUGGUUAAAAUAAUUAAAAUUAUUUUAUAAAGUGGAUUUGAAGGUAAUAUAAUUAAAUUAAAUUAUAUGAUUUUGGCUCUAAAAUAUGUACAUAUCGCCCGUCGCUCCCUCUCUAAGGAGGGAUAAGUCGUAACAUAGUAGGCGUACUGGAAAGUGUGCCUAGAAUGGU